AACAUAACUUAAGUUACACAUGAUUUCUUCCAAGUGGUUUGGCUUGUUAAAAACAUCUUACAUUUUAGAUACAUUAUGAUACAGGAAAUUGCUGGCUUUGUGUUUACAGAAGUACCUGACUAUGCCUGACUUUUGUGCAGCCUAUGCUCUAAUCACCGCAGUCUGCAAACAAGAACCCGUGGAAUCACCUUUCACGUGUUUCCCAAAACCGGAGAGAGGAGGAGGCAGUGGGAAGUUGCCCUAAGAAGGGACGGUUUUGUUUCCUGUGGCAGGACACUGCUCUGCAGUGAUCACUUCAGGAGUGAGGACUUUGACAGGACGGGGCAGACUGUCCGGCUUAAAGAUGGUGUUGUGCCAACAGUAUUCAAUUUCCCAGCUCAUCUUCAAAGGCCGGAAGCAACAAGAAGCACAACCACUUCUAGAAGAGCAGAAG